AGUGAACGCUGGCGGUAGGCCUAACACAUGCAAGUCGAACGGCAGCACAGUAAGAGCUUGCUCUUACGGGGGGCGAGUGGCGGACGGGUGAGGAGUGCAUCGGAAUCUACUUUUUCGUGGGGGAUAACGUAGGGAAACUUACGCUAAUACAGCAUACGACCUACGGGUGAAAGCAGGGGAUCUUCGGACCUUGCGGGAUUGAAUGAGCCGAUGUCGGAUUAGCUAGUUGGCGGGGGAAAGGCCAACCAAGGCGACGAUACGUGGCUCGUCUGAGAGACUGGUCAGCGACCUUGGAACGUAGACACGGUCAAUACUCCUACGGUACGGAGCAGAGGGCAAUAGUGGACAACAGGCGCAAACAUGAUCCAGCCAGCCCACGUGGGAGACGACGGCCUUCGGGUUGUAAUGACCUCUUUUUGGGAAAGAAACGCAGCCGGCUGAUACCCCGCUUUUCUGACGGUACCCAGAGAAUAAGCACCGGCUAACUUCGUG
rnacentral:rRNA from 1 species